GUGCGAGACCGAUAGCGAACAAGUACCGUGAGGGAAAGAUGAAAAGAACUUUGAAAAGAGAGUUAAAGAGUACCUGAAACUGCUGAAAGGGAAGCGAAUCGUAUCCAGUGUCUAUAAUCUGCGGCAUAUUUCAUUGGCGGCAGUGUGCGUGCUUUUGCGUCGGAAGCGGCUUUUGUUGCUCUGUGCUUUUGCUGUGCGUGCUGUUGCUGGUGCCCUGUGUUGCGGUGGGACGUCAGAGUCAGUUCGUAUGCUGCGGGAAAUGGCCGCCGAGGAGGUAGGUCAGGACUUCGGUCUUGGCUGUUAUAUCUUGGUGGUUUGUUGUCGUGGUUGGGACUGAGGUGCCUACAAUGUGCUUUUGAGUGUGCCGGGUUCUCAUUUGGUGGACUGUUUGGAUAGCUUGCUAUGCUUGUGGUUUUUUCAUCGAGUGAUUGAGUCUGGUGGUAACUUGUUGCUGUUCGGGACUUUGA
rnacentral:rRNA from 2 species